rnacentral:snRNA from 1 species
CUGUUUCUUUUCAGCAGCACAUAUACUAAAAUUGGAACAAUACAGAAAUUAGCAUGGCCCCUGCGCAAGGAUGACAUGCAAAUUCGUGAAGCGUUCCAUAUUUUU